rnacentral:lncRNA from 1 species
AAGAAAGAGCGGAGACGUUUUUGGGGAAUGAACGGAGGCGUUUUUGGGGGAAAGAAAGAGCGGAGAAUUUUGGGGAACGAGUGGAGAAUUUUGGGGAACGAGCGGAGAAGUUUUUGGGGAGAGAAAGAGAGGAGAAGUUGUUUGGGGAAAGAAAGAGCAGAGAAUUUUGGGGAAAGAGCGGAGAAAAUUUGGGGAAAGAAAGAGCGGAGACGUUUUUGGGGGACGAGCGGAAAAUUUGGGGGAAAGAAAGAGCGGAGACGUUUUUGGGGAACGAGCGGAAAAUUUGGGGAAAGAAAGAGCGGAGGCAUUUUUGGGGAAGGAAAGAGUGGAGACUUUUUGGGGAAAGAGCGGAGAAUUUUGGGGAACGAGCAGAAAAAAGUUUGGGGAAAAAAAGAGCGGAGGCGUUUUUUGGGGAAGAAAGAGCGGAGAAAAGUUUUUGGGGGACGAGCGGAGAAAAAUUUGGGGAAAGAACGGAGAAUUUUGGGGAACGAGCGGAGAAGUUUUUGGGGAAAGAGCGGAGAAAAGUUUGGGGAACAAGCGGAGAAAAUUUGGGAAACGAGCGGAGACGUUUUUGGGGGAAGAGCGGAGGAGUUUGGGGAACGAGCGGAGAAAAUUUGGGGAAAGAGCGGAGAAAAUUUGGGGAAAGAAAGAGCGGAGGCGUUUUUGGGGAAGGAAAGAGUGGAGACUUUUUGGGGAAAGAGCGGAGAAUUUUGGGGAACGAGCAGAAAAAAGUUUGGGGAAAAAAAGAGCGGAGGCGUUUUUGGGGAAGGAAAGAGCGGAGAAUUUUGGGGAAUGAGUGGAGACGUUUUUGGGGAAAGAGUGGAGGAGUUUGGGGCCAGGUGGAACCAGUUGGCUGGAGGAGUUGAGUGGAUUGGGUUGGCCAACUGGAAGAGGUCUACUGGAAGGGUCUUACUGGGAGGACCUAGCCAACUGGGAAGGUCUUACUGGGAGGACCUAGCCAACUGGAAGGGUCUAUCCAACUGGAAGGACCUAGCCUACUGGAAAGGUCUUACUGGGAGGACCUAGCCAACUGGAAGGGUCUUACUGGGAGGACCUAGCGUACUGGAAGGGUCUUGUCUACUGGAAGGGUCUAUCCAACUGGGAAGGU